UACGUAGGGGGCAAGCGUUGUUCGGAAUUACUGGGCGUAAAGCGCGUGUAGGCGGUCUGGCAAGUCAGAUGUGAAAGCCCCGGGCUCAACUUGGGAACUGCAUUUGAUACUGCCAAGCUAGAGUACAGAAGAGGUGACUGGAAUUCCCAGUGUAGCGGUGAAAUGCGUAGAGAUGUGGAGGAACACCGAUGGCGAAGGCAGCCCCCUGGGUCAAAACUGACGCUCAUGCACGAAAGCGUGGGGAGCAAACAGG
rnacentral:rRNA from 1 species